rnacentral:lncRNA from 1 species
GAUGGAUCCCGUUGCGUGCUCCUGGGAAAGCCCUAAGGCAACACUCAAGACUGCAGUGCUGGUGAAGUCCUAGUCUGGCAGAGCCUGAGCACCAUGCCGUGUCUUGUCUCAAGGUCCAUGCAAUGCUGCACGACUUCUUUCCAACAUCUGAAGGAAUCUCCUUUCCCAGCUGCCUUCAAAUCAGUUUGGCUCAUCGUUUCAAGCAGCUGUUUGUUUCUCAGUGUCUGUGGAACUGCCCCAGGAAAGUUCUUAGCAGGGUUCUGGCAGGCAAACAUCAAAACUAUUAUUAGCAUGGCAACUCACAGAAAACAAAUCUACAUCUGUGUGCCUUGUGACACCACGGGGAGUCACUGUCACCUCGUGACUUCACAACGGUGUGGAUGGGUAUAUAUAUAGAUGGCUCAGGGUAUAGAUACCCAGAGCGUUCUGCCCUCUUCCGAGUCCUGCUGACAACUCUUGAGACAUCAGUGCCUUCCCUGCGUGGAACAUGAGAUGUCGAGGCCUUGCCAGCUGUACGUGAGACGUCAAGGUCCUGCAAGUGGAUUGCAAGUGACCAAGGAUCCUGCUCAAGGAACACCAGA